rnacentral:rRNA from 1 species
UGGGGAAUUUUGGACAAUGGGCGAAAGCCUGAUCCAGCCAUGCCGCGUGAGUGAAGAAGGCCUUAGGGUUGUAAAGCUCUUUCGCCCGCGAAGAUAAUGACGGUAGCGGGAGAAGAAGCCCCGGCUAACUCCGUGCCAGCAGCCGCGGUAAUACGGAGGGGGGUAGCGUUGUUCGGAAUUACUGGGCGUAAAGCGUACGUAGGCGGAUGCGCAAGUUGGGGGUGAAAUCCCGGGGCUUAACCUCGGAAUUGCCCUCAAAACUGCACGUCUUGAGACCGAGAGAGGUAAGGUGAAUUCCUAGUGUAGAGGUGAAAUUCGUAGAUAUUAGGAAGAACACCAGUGGCGAAGGCGCCUUACUGGCUCGGUACUGACGCUGAGGUACGAAAGCGUGGGGAGCAAACA